AAAAUAAUCCUACCCUUUGUGAAUUUUGUUUGUCUGAAUAAUUUUUUUUUUUAAAAAAUUAUUGGAGUCUUUCCCUUUAGAGUUUGCUUUUGAGUUUGUAAAAGAAUUCGAAAACAUCUAAAGGGGAUGGUCAAUAAUUUUUUUGAAAAAAGACAUUUUUUAAAAUUAAACUUUUUGUAUUCAUUUGUCUAAAAAUUAUUUUUAUAAUAUAAAAACAACUUUUGACAAUGGAUCUCUUGGUUCUCGCAACGAUGAAGAACGCAGCAAAAUGCGAUAAGUAGUGUGAAUUGCAGAAUACGUGAAUCAUCGAAUCUUUGAACGCAUAUUGCACUUUUUUAGUUUACUAAAAAAGUAUGUCUGUUUGAGUAUCAGUAAAAUAUUCUCAUAAAAAUCAUUGUGUAUUUUUAUGGUUAUGAGUGUUUUACAACGAUACAAGUUGUUUCACUUUAAAUUUUUUUUUAAUAUUGAAAUUUUUCUAAUUUUAAUAAUUAAAAUUGGAUAAAAUUUUCCCGUCAAAAGGAAUAACCUAAACAAUUUUAAACGAUUAAUUUUAGCAAAAUUUUCGUAAAAAGGAAAAUUUUUAUUAAAAUAACUUGAUCUCAAAUCAGAUAAGAGUACCCGCUGAACUUAAGCAUAUCAAUAAGCGGAGGAAAAGAAACUAACAAGGAUUCCCUUAGUAACGGCGAGUGAAGCGGGAAGAGCUCAAAUUUGAAAUCUUCAAGGUUUUACCUUGACGAAUUGUAGUUUAAAGAAGUGUUUUCUGCUGAAGUUUUGGUAAAAGUUCUUUGGAAUAGGACAUCAUAGAGGGUGAGAAUCCCGUAUUUGACCAUUAUUUUCAGCUUUGUGAUACACUUUCAAAGAGUCGGAUUGUUUGGGAAUGCAGUCCAAAAUGGGUGGUAAAUUUCAUCUAAAGCUAAAUAUUGGCGAGAGACCGAUAGCGAACAAGUACCGUGAGGGAAAGAUGAAAAGAACUUUGAAAAGAGAGUUAAACAGUACGUGAAAUUGUCAAAAGGGAAGCGUUUGACACCAGUGUUGUUUUCUCGAAAAUCAAUUAAAAAUGGCUCGAUUUUGUAUUGCUGAGACCUUAAAAGCUCACUGUACAUUUUUCGUGUCUUUUUUAAUGCACUUUUCGUUUAACAAGUCAACAUCAGUUUCUUUUGUUGUAAAAGGGUCAUUGGAAGGUGGCUUUCUUUUCGGAGAAAGUGUUUAUAGCCUUUGGCCUCUGCAAUCGAAGAGACUGAGGUCUGCAGCGUAGACUCUUCGGGGUUAGAUACAUUUGUGCUAAGUUAUAGCUUUUUAUAGACAACUUGUUGACUAUAAUUAGUCUUGUAGCUUACUCGCUUAUGCUAUUU
rnacentral:misc_RNA from 1 species